rnacentral:rRNA from 1 species
UACGUAGGUGGCAAGCGUUGUCCGGAUUUAUUGGGUUUAAAGGGUGCGUAGGCGGUUCCAUAAGUCAGUGGUGAAAUACGGCAGCUCAACUGUCGAGGUGCCAUUGAUACUGCGGAACUUGAGUACUGAUGAGGUAGGCGGAAUUGACGGUGUAGCGGUGAAAUGCUUAGAUAAUCGUCAAGAACACCGAUAGCGAAGGCAGCUUACCAAGCAGUAACUGACGCUGAGGCACGAAAGUGCGGGGAUCAACAGG